CCUGAGGAUCCGCGGAGAGCUAGUCCUUGGGACAGCCUGCGUCCCCCUGCCCGCUCGUUUCUUGGACCUUCACUGCAGGCCCGCGCAGCCCAGCUUGUGGACACAUUUCAGGCUGCCAGGAUCCAGCGCGGGGCGACGAAACGGAUAGCGGGAUCAAGACUCCGGAGAGGAAUUCCGGCUUCCCGGGGUGGCGCAGAGCACCGAGCUGCCCCACUCCACCGCCUUGGGAAGGCGGCUGGAAUUAGGAGGUGGCUGCGGGCCCGCAGGGAGUCCAGGGGAGAGAUCCCCGGUACUGCCGGCGCCUACGUUGAGGGUGCCUGGGUUCCUGGGGACCACGAGAGGAAAAAGAACGAAAAUCACGCCAGGGAGGAAGCACGCAGAGUGCUCCUUUGUGAAGCGGAGUGCUCUGGGCUGACGAGGACCUGGGCGCGGCCGGGGGGAGUCUGGCGGCGCGGUUCCCACGCUCCGCAGAGGCUUCCAGGAAAACCCACAGCCCGGGCGCGGGGGUGCGCCAGGCGACCUUCCCUUUCCGCGAGGGAACUCCCAGCGGGUCACACCAGAAGGCCGGAUCUCUCCUCGCCGCCUGGGUGCUUCCAAACAGGAAUUUACUCCGCCACUGAAUCGAUUGUUUAAAGAUUCAUCUUUGGAUAUGGUUUCAUCAGUGUUGGUCUUGCCUCGGGCAAGGGAAGGAAGAAAAUAAGGAGGAUGCCAAGAGAGCUUAGAGAAAGUCCUUUCUGGGUUCAGCGGCCGGCUGUAGCCUCACUCCCAGGACGUUUGUUGACUGAGUAAAAGAACGAAGGUCGGCCUGGAAAGUUUCGCACAAAGGGCAAAGGGGAGUUGGAACUUGAACCGGAGAGAAUGUGGCAUUAAAUAGGACCCCUCUAUUAUCAGUUUGUUUCCAAACUCUUAAACUGCUCCAGCCUGGCCGAAUUUGCUGAAGUAGUCUAUCUUGGACGCUGGUGGUGCUCGGGGCUGAUGGCUACCUGUGCAAAGAGGGAAGAAUUGGAAGCUGGAGUAAGGGCGGCUACCAGGGGUGGGGCUUGGGAACUUUCCAGAACGUCCUCAAAACCGCAGGAGCCGGGAGGAAAUCUCCCGUAGGGGAUCUUAGGUAGGGCAAGAGGAUGGGAGGGAGAAGAGAAGCCGUAGUAAAAAUUGGCCACUUAGACUACUGCAAAAAUGUGGGUCCCCAGGUUCGUCCUCCCUCCUGGAAUAAGAAAUUCAUAGCUGAGGGUGGGAAGUAGAUGUGGGUUGGGGGAGCAACUUUCUCACAUUCACAGAGCGGCUUUCCUCCAAGUGGCACGGAAUUGGGAACCCUACUAAGGACUGGGAAAACGGCUGAGUUCCUAGAAAUGUGCUUCCUUCCUGGGGAGCAAUUCGUGAUGGGCGUUCUUGUCUGGUUUCCCCCAUCCCGGUCCCCUGACUCCGAAUAACACUUAAACCUUUCUAGUUGCAAAGUCAUUUCAGAAGAUUUUUAAAUAAGUUUUGAAAAUUCUAGUGCUUUAAUAUAUAUAUAUAUAUAUAUAUAUAUAUAUAUAUAUAUAUAGCCUUUUAUUUUCUCUAGUAAACGUUGACCAUUACAUUCCAAAUUGAUCUGAAAUGGUUUUCCAGCUUGUUGGGGUCGACGGGUGGCAGAAAUCAGCGUCUUUAUAAAGAUGAAAAAAUAAAUAAAGAAUAUAUUUACAUGCCUUCCCAUUCUUUUCUUCUGGAGGUCUGGUAAAUAGUAAAUUUCCUAUUUUAAAAGCCAAGACUUUUUCAACCUCAAAUAUUUGGAAUUUUUAAAGGCCAUAUUAAAGUGGAUUACUUUUGAUAUGUAUAAUAAAUAUGAAUUGUGAAAAAUAAACUGAGAAAAUAACAUAGGUUUUAAACAAGCUCCAUUUUAGAAAGGGAAGAAUGAGACGUAAUAGAAAAUAAACGAUGUAGUGUAGUGACUUAGCAUUUUAUUUCGUCUAUAUAACUAGGCUUAAUUUUAAUACCUUAAUUUUAACAUGAAAGAUGGCACGUCAGUCACACAGAUAUCAAUGUUCUGAAAUUAACAACCCACUUACAUUACACAUCCCUAUCAGGAAGACACAGAGGGCACAAGCAUUUUGCACUUAGGAAUAAUACUUCCAGUUCCAAGGAAGUGAAGAAGGGGGAACAUGUUUGGCGUUGGAGACUGUGUUUUUUGUUUGCUUGCUUGUUUUUCUUUUAAUACCAGAACAAAAUACCCCACUGACUUUCAUAGUUCCCCAGGAAAUGUGCAAAUCGGGAAAGCUGUGGAAACCACAGCUGAAGGCAAGAAAAGAUGAUUUGACGCCCUCCGAAGUUUACGUUCAGGUGGUCUUUAGAGGAAUGGAAUCCAGCUGUUCCUUUCUAACCAUUUUGCAGCAAACAGAAGUUUGUGUUUGCUCUGCAGCGCGAUUCAGAUGCACAGGCCUAAUCUCGGUCGCGCAAGGUGGAGUGAGCAGCUGCAGGUCGCUCCGCCCUCCCACCUAGCUCUUGGAACGCCCUGCGGAGUUGGCCAGG
rnacentral:lncRNA from 1 species